rnacentral:rRNA from 1 species
AGAGUUUGAUCCUGGCUCAGGAUGAACGCUGGCGGCGUGCUUAACACAUGCAAGUCGAACGGGAAAUACUUCAUUGAGACUUCGGUGGAUUUGAUUUAUUUCCAGUGGCGGACGGGUGAGUAACGCGUGGGUAACCUGCCUUAUACAGGGGGAUAACAGUCAGAAAUGACUGCUAAUACCGCAUAAGCGCACAGGACUGCAUGGUCCGGUGUGAAAAACUCCGGUGGUAUAAGAUGGACCCGCGUUGGAUUAGCUUGUUGGUGGGGUAACGGCCCACCAAGGCGACGAUCCAUAGCCGGCCUGAGAGGGUGAACGGCCACAUUGGGACUGAGACACGGCCCAGACUCCUACGGGAGGCAGCAGUGGGGAAUAUUGCACAAUGGGGGAAACCCUGAUGCAGCGACGCCGCGUGAAGGAAGAAGUAUCUCGGUAUGUAAACUUCUAUCAGCAGGGAAGAUAGUGACGGUACCUGACUAAGAAGCCCCGGCUAACUACGUGCCAGCAGCCGCGGU